CAGUACCGUGAGGGAAAGGCGAAAAGAACCCCGGCGAGGGGAGUGAAAAAGAACCUGAAACCGUGUACGUACAAGCAGUGGGAGCCUCUUAAUGGGGUGACUGCGUACCUUUUGUAUAAUGGGUCAGCGACUUAUAUUCUGUAGCAAGGUUAACCGAAUAGGGGAGCCGAAGGGAAACCGAGUCUUAACUGGGCGUUAAGUUGCAGGGUAUAGACCCGAAACCCGGUGAUCUAGCCAUGGGCAGGUUGAAGGUUGGGUAACACUAACUGGAGGACCGAACCGACUAAUGUUGAAAAAUUAGCGGAUGACUUGUGGCUGGGGGUGAAAGGCCAAUCAAACCGGGAGAUAGCUGGUUCUCCCCGAAAGCUAUUUAGGUAGCGCCUCGUGAAUUCAUCUCCGGGGGUAGAGCACUGUUUCGGCAAGGGGGUCAUCCCGACUUACCAACCCGAUGCAAACUGCGAAUACCGGAGAAUGUUAUCACGGGAGACACACGGCGGGUGCUAACGUCCGUCGUGAAGAGGGAAACAACCCAGACCGCCAGCUAAGGUCCCAAAGUCAUGGUUAAGUGGGAAACGAUGUGGGAAGGCCCAGACAGCCAGGAUGUUGGCUUAGAAGCAGCCAUCAUUUAAAGAAAGCGUAAUAGCUCACUGGUCGAGUCGGCCUGCGCGGAAGAUGUAACGGGGCUAAACCAUGCACCGAAGCUGCGGCAGCGACACUAUGUGUUGUUGGGUAGGGGAGCGUUCUGUAAGCCGUUGAAGGUGGCCUGUGAGGGUUGCUGGAGGUAUCAGAAGUGCGAAUGCUGACAUAAGUAACGAUAAAGCGGGUGAAAAGCCCGCUCGCCGGAAGACCAAGGGUUCCUGUCCAACGUUAAUCGGGGCAGGGUGAGUCGACCCCUAAGGCGAGGCCGAAAGGCGUAGUCGAUGGGAAACAGGUUAAUAUUCCUGUACUUGGUGUUACUGCGAAGGGGGGACGGAGAAGGCUAUGUUGGCCGGGCGACGGUUGUCCCGGUUUAAGCGUGUAGGCUGGUUUUCCAGGCAAAUCCGGAAAACCAAGGCUGAGGCGUGAUGACGAGGCACUACGGUGCUGAAGCGACAAAUGCCCUGCUUCCAGGAAAAGCCUCUAAGCAUCAGGUAACAUCAAAUCGUACCCCAAACCGACACAGGUGGUCAGGUAGAGAAUACCAAGGCGCUUGAGAGAACUCGGGUGAAGGAACUAGGCAAAAUGGUGCCGUAACUUCGGGAGAAGGCACGCUGAUAUGUAGGUGAAGCGACUUGCUCGUGGAGCUGAAAUCAGUCGAAGAUACCAGCUGGCUGCAACUGUUUAUUAAAAACACAGCACUGUGCAAACACGAAAGUGGACGUAUACGGUGUGACGCCUGCCCGGUGCCGGAAGGUUAAUUGAUGGGGUUAGCGGCAACGCGAAGCUCUUGAUCGAAGCCCCGGUAAACGGCGGCCGUAACUAUAACGGUCCUAAGGUAGCGAAAUUCCUUGUCGGGUAAGUUCCGACCUGCACGAAUGGCGUAAUGAUGGCCAGGCUGUCUCCACCCGAGACUCAGUGAAAUUGAACUCGCUGUGAAGAUGCAGUGUACCCGCGGCAAGACGGAAAGACCCCGUGAACCUUUACUAUAGCUUGACACUGAACAUUGAGCCUUGAUGUGUAGGAUAGGUGGGAGGCUUUGAAGUGUGGACGCCAGUCUGCAUGGAGCCGACCUUGAAAUACCACCCUUUAAUGUUUGAUGUUCUAACGUUGGCCCGUAAUCCGGGUUGCGGACAGUGUCUGGUGGGUAGUUUGACUGGGGCGGUCUCCUCCUAAAGAGUAACGGAGGAGCACGAAGGUUGGCUAAUCCUGGUCGGACAUCAGGAGGUUAGUGCAAUGGCAUAAGCCAGCUUGACUGCGAGCGUGACGGCGCGAGCAGGUGCGAAAGCAGGUCAUAGUGAUCCGGUGGUUCUGAAUGGAAGGGCCAUCGCUCAACGGAUAAAAGGUACUCCGGGGAUAACAGGCUGAUACCGCCCAAGAGUUCAUAUCGA
rnacentral:rRNA from 1 species